rnacentral:rRNA from 1 species
UACGAAGGGGGCUAGCGUUGCUCGGAAUUACUGGGCGUAAAGGGCGCGUAGGCGGAUGUUUAAGUUAGAGGUGAAAGCCCAGGGCUCAACCCUGGAAUAGCCUUUAAUACUGGGCAUCUUGAGUUCGGGAGAGGUGAGUGGAACUCCGAGUGUAGAGGUGAAAUUCGUAGAUAUUCGGAAGAACACCAGUGGCGAAGGCGACUCGCUGGACAAGUAUUGACGCUGAGGUGCGAAAGCGUGGGGAGCAAACAGG